rnacentral:rRNA from 1 species
AUACGUAGGGGGCGAGCGUUGUCCGGAAUGAUUGGGCGUAAAGGGUGCGUAGGCGGCGCGGUAAGUCUGGAGUGAAAGUCCUGCUUUCAAGGUGGGAAUUGCUUUGGAUACUGCCGCGCUUGAGUGCAGGAGAGGUUAUCGGAAUUCCCGGUGUAGCGGUGAAAUGCGUAGAGAUCGGGAGGAACACCAGUGGCGAAGGCGGGUAACUGGACUGCAACUGACGCUGAGGCGCGAAAGUGUGGGGAGCAAACAGGAUUAGAUACCCUGGUAGUCCACACUGUAAACGAUGAAUGCUAGGUGUAAGAGGUAUCGACCCCUUUUGUGCCGGAGUCAACACAAUAAGCAUUCCGCCUGGGGAGUACGGCCGCAAGGUUGAAACUCAAAUGAAUUGACGGGG